AACGAACGCUGGCGGCGCGCCUAAUACAUGCAAGUCGAGCGAGAAGGUGUAGCAAUACACUUGUAAAGCGGCGAACGGGUGAGGAAUACAUGGGUAAUCUACCAUCGAGUGGGGAAUAACCAACCGAAAGGUUGGCUAAUACCGCGUACGCCUCCGAGUCUUCGGGUUCGGAGGGAAAGCUGCACUGUGAGUGUAGCGCUCUUUGAUGAGCUCAUGUCCUAUCAGCUUGUUGGUAGGGUAACGGCCUACCAAGGCUUUGACGGGUAGCUGGUCUGAGAGGACGAUCAGCCACACUGGCACUGAGACACGGUCCAGACUCCUACGGGAGGCAGCAGUAAGGAAUAUUGCUCAAUGGCCGAAAGGCUGAAGCAGCAACGCCGCGUGGAGGAUGAAAUACUUUUGUAUGUAAACUCCUGUGAGAAGGGAAAAUAUGCAGAUUUUCUGCGUUGAUUGUACCUUCAGA
rnacentral:rRNA from 1 species